UGGUGGUAGCCGGGAUCAUGAUGGUCAUAAUGCUUAUGCUCAUCAUAGUGAUGAGCAUGAUGAGCAUGAUCGCCAUGAUCGCCAUGCUUGUAAUCC